GGGUGGUUAGCUCAGCCGGGAGAGCAUCAGCCUUACAAGCUGAGGGUCACAGGUUCGAUCCCUGUACCACCCACCA
rnacentral:tRNA from 1 species